rnacentral:rRNA from 1 species
UCAGGAUGAACGCUGGCGGCGUGCUUAACACAUGCAAGUCGAACGAGGCUUGGCAGCGGAAGUUCCGGAUGGAAGCAGCCAUGACCGAGUGGCGGACGGGUGAGUAACGCGUGGGGAACCUGCCCCAUUCCGGGGAUACCAGUUGGAAACGACUGUUAAUACCGCAUAAGCGCACGGGAAGACAUCUUCCAGUGUGAAAAAACUGAGGUGGAAUGGGAUGGCCCCGCGUCUGAUUAGCCAGUUGGCAGGGUAACGGCCUACCAAAGCGACGAUCAGUAGCCGGCCUGAGAGGGCGACCGGCCACAUUGGGACUGAGACACGGCCCAAACUCCUACGGGAGGCAGCAGUGGGGAAUAUUGCACAAUGGGGGAAACCCUGAUGCAAGCGACGCCGCGUGAGUGAAGAAGUAUUUCGGUAUGUAAAGCUCUAUCAGCAGGGAAGAAGAUGACGGUACCUGCACAAGAAGCCCCGGCUAACUACGUGCCAGCCGCCGC